rnacentral:rRNA from 1 species
ACGAAGGGUGUUGAGGUUAUAACUCAGCAUGACGUUACCGCAGAAGAGCACCGCUACUCGUGCAGCAGCGCGUAUACGGAGGGUGCAGCGUAUCGAUACUGGCGUAAGCCCACGCAGCGGUCUGUCAGUCGGAUGUGAAAUCCCCGGGCUCAACCUGGAACUGCAUCGAACUGGCAGGCUAGAGUCUGUAGAGGGGGUAGAAUUCCAGGUGUAGCGGUGAAAUGCGUAGAGAUCUGGAGGAAUACCGGUGGCGAAGGCGGCCCCCUGGACAAAGACUGACGCUCAGGUGCGAAAGCGUGGGGAGCAAACAGGAUUAGAUACCCUGGUAGUCCACGCCGUAAACGAUGUCGACUUGGAGGUUGUGCCCUUGAGGCGUGGCUUCCGGAGCUAACGCGUUAAGUCGACCGCCUGGGGAGUACGGCCGCAAGGUUAAAACUCAAAUGAAUUGACGGGGGCCCGCACAAGCGGUGGAGCAUGUGGUUUAAUUCGAUGCAACGCGAAGAACCUUACCUACUCUUGACAUCCAGAGAACUUUCCAGAGAUGGAUUGGUGCCUUCGGGAACUCUGAGACAGGUGCUGCAUGGCUGUCGUCAGCUCGUGUUGUGAAAUGUUGGGUUAAGUCCCGCAACGAGCGCAACCCUUAUCCUUUGUUGCCAGCGGUUCGGCCGGGAACUCAAAGGAGACUGCCAGUGAUAAACUGGAGGAAGGUGGGGAUGACGUCAAGUCAUCAUGGCCCUUACGAGUAGGGCUACACACGUGCUACAAUGGCGCAUACAAAGAGAAGCGACCUCGCGAGAGCAAGCGGACCUCAUAAAGUGCGUCGUAGUCCGGAUUGGAGUCUGCAACUCGACUCCAUGAAGUCGGAAUCGCUAGUAAUCGUAGAUCAGAAUGCUACGGUGAAUACGUUCCCGGGCCUUGUACACACCGCCCGUCACACCAUGGGAGUGGGUUGCAAAAGAAGUAGGUAGCUUAACCUUCGGGAGGGCGCUUCUGAAGUUGGAUCUU